rnacentral:rRNA from 1 species
UACGUAGGGUGCGAGCGUUGUCCGGAAUUACUGGGCGUAAAGAGCUCGUAGGUGGUUUGUCGCGUUGUUCGUGAAAUCUCACGGCUUAACUGUGAGCGUGCGGGCGAUACGGGCAGACUAGAGUACUGCAGGGGAGACUGGAAUUCCUGGUGUAGCGGUGGAAUGCACAGAUAUCAGGAGGAACACCGGUGGCGAAGGCGGGUCUCUGGGCAGUAACUGACGCUGAGGAGCGAAAGCGUGGGGAGCGAACAGGAUUAGAUACCCUGGUAGUCCACGCCGUAAACGGUGGGUACUAGGUGUGGGUUUCCUUCCCUUGGGAUCCGUGCCGUAGCUAACGCAUUAAGUACCCCGCCUGGGGAGUACGGCCGCAAGGCUAAAACUCAAAGGAAU